rnacentral:lncRNA from 1 species
GUUCUAAGGUCUUUUAGAACAAAUAUACCUCCCACUAUUUUCUCGAAUCCCUUACACUCCCCUGGUAAGAAACGGAAAUCCUACAUGACUAGGGUUUCUAGUGGGUACUGCGGUCCCACCGAUUUAUGUUGGGAACCCGCCCAUGCCACAGAAAAAUUUCAAAAAAAAUUCAGAUGGCAGCGGAAUCGACAUAAGCUGGAUCGACGUUCAUCUCAUGAACGUUGUUUCAUGAACCGUUCGUAGAUGGGUAAGGAUUAAAUAUUUUUAAAAA